GUCACGGCUCCUACUGGCGUAAACACCAGAAAGAGUCUCUGAAAAUGCACAAACACAGAUAAUCACAGUGAUACAAACAGUGACAACUGACAUUAUUUCGCGGAUACAAUCAUAUUUUACUCUCAUCACAUUCAAUUUGAACUGCAAAGUUGUUGUGCCGUGCAUCUUCCGCAAGGGCGCGCCCUCGGUGACAGCAGCACAUGAAAAACUGCCAUAGAGCAAAAAGAUCGAUCUUCGGAGAUUGAGAUAAUCGCUAUGAACAAAACGGAGUCGUUUUAAAAACAUUUUAUUGUAAAAAUAGACAUUUUAACCAGACGUGCGGCUUUAUAAUGCAUGCAAGAAGACAAACUUCAAGUGGAAAUGUAGUCUACUUACAGAUUAAGGGAGGUGUUUGAACCGUGACAUCUACAGUAGCCAACAGAAACAGAGUGCUGGGACAUGAGGUCAGACAUUGACUGUAAUGAUGGACAUCUGCUGAUGCACAGACAGAAGUAUAACCCCUGCUGGACAUUGUGCUGGAACUCGGGGAGGACACCAUGAUCCCCCACACCUUCUCACUCACACCAGACCAUUCACUCAUAUCACGGAGAUCUGGCUGGACUUGAACCAGCAACCUCUGAAACCAUGAGGCAGCGCUCUUACCUCUGAGCCACAGAUCUCAUGUAUGAACAUGUGCAGGAACUUAUAUUUCACUAUUCAGCUGUAUCAGACUUGGGAUUUUACAAUAAAUCAAUUAAAGUUACACACAGGAUUGAACCUGUAACUCCACUGCAACCAUGUCCUCAACUGUGUAAACGUGUGUCUAGCCACUGCACCAUCAUGGCUUUCACACUGAGCAGUGGCAUUUGUGGCACUUUGUUGGAUAUAAAGACAACAGUUUAAUAUAUGCAAGAGUGGGAUUUGAACUCACACU
ensembl:lncRNA